rnacentral:lncRNA from 1 species
AGGCUGUUGAGAUAUACAGGCUCUUGAGAGACAAUCUCUAAGGUCCUUCAAGGGAGGCUGACUCUGGCUGGAACUCCCUCUGGGGAGACUCUGUCACUAGAAUCCUUGCUUGGACAGAUCUUGUGAAUUUUGGAUCCCUGAACUUGAGGUUCAUGGACUUUCCUCUUCGUAUGUUGGGGAGAGGGCUUGCAAUACCCAUGCAAUCUGCCCCAAGAGGAGAGCUUGCACCUGCUCUGAGCAGAGAAUGAAGCACAGGAAUGGAGAGACUGUGCCACAAGACAGCUGCUCCGGGCUCUGGGAUGAUCAUCCAGGCCUGCCUCACUUGGUGAAGUAAUUGGGGGAAAUAGUUCCCCAGAUUUGGCCCUGAAUGGAGAUUAAAGCAAGUGAAUGUAAAUAAAGAACCUCCACCCUUAAGGCA